rnacentral:tRNA from 1 species
GCCAAGAUAGCUCAGUAGGGAGAGCGUUAGACUGAAGAUCUAAAGCUC